UGAAUACGAGACGCUAAGGCGUCGAAGUAGUGUAUGUCAUACUUCCAAGAAAAGCUUGCACUGUCAUAAAUAGAAAAUGCCUGUACCAUAACCGACACAGGUGGGUAGGUAGAGUAUACUAAGGGGCGCGAGAUAACUCUCUCUAAGGAACUCGGCAAAAUGACUCCGUAACUUCGGGAGAAGGAGUGCCUUAUUUUUAAGGUUGCAAUAACAAGAUCCAAGCAACUGUUUAUCAAAAACACAGGUCUCCGCUAAGUCGUAAGACGAUGUAUGGGGGCUGACGCCUGCCCAGUGCCAGAAGUUUAAAGAAGUUGGUUAGCAUUAGCGAAGCUGAUAACUGAAGCCCUGGUGAACGGCGGCCGUAACGAUAACGGUCCUAAGGUAGCGAAAUUCCUUGUCGGGUAAGUUCCGACCCGCACGAAAGGCGUAAUGAUUUGGAUACUGUCUCGGAGAGGGGCUCGGUGAAAUAGACUUGUCUGUGAAGAUGCGGACUACCUGCACCUGGACAGAAAGACCCUAUGAAGCUUUACUGUAACUUGAAAUUGAAAUUGGACUUUAGUCGCGCAGCAUAGGUGGGAGGCGUUGAUGAUGUUCUUGCGGGAACAUUGGAGCUAUCAGUGAGAUACCACUCUUCUAAUGUUAGAUUUCUAACUUUGAACCAUUAUCUGGUCAGAGAACAGUUUCAGGCGGGCAGUUUGACUGGGGCGGUCGCCUCCCAAAUGGUAACGGAGGCGUACAAAGGUUUCCUCUGAACGGAUAGAAAUCGUAUCUAGAGUAUAAAGGCAUAAGGAAGCUUGACUGUGAGACCUACAAGUCGAGCAGGGACGAAAGUCGGUCUUAGUGAUCUGACGGUACUGAGUGGAAAGGCCGUCACUCAACGGAUAAAAGUUACUCUAGGGAUAACAGGCUGAUCUCCCCCAAGAGUUCACAUCGACGGGGAGGUUUGGCACCUCGAUGUCGGCUCAUCGCAUCCUGGGGCGGUAGUACGUCCCAAGGGUUGGGCUGUUCGCCCAUGGAAGCGGUACGCGAGCUGGGUUCAGAACGUCGUGAGACAUUUCGGUCCAUAUCCGGUGUAGGCGUUAGAAUAUUGAGAGGAGCCUUCUCUAGUACGAGAGGACCGAGAAGGACAUACCUCUGGUGUACCAGUUAUCGUGCCAACGGUAAACGCUGGGUAGCUAUGUAUGGAGUGGAUAACCGCUGAAAGCAUCUAAGUGGGAAGCCCACCUCAAGAUGAG
rnacentral:rRNA from 1 species